AGAGUUUGAUCAUGGCUCAGAUUGAACGCUGGCGGCAGGCCUAACACAUGCAAGUCGAACGGUAACAGGAAGAAGCUUGCUUCUUUGCUGACGAGUGGCGGACGGGUGAGUAAUGUCUGGGAAACUGCCUGAUGGAGGGGGAUAACUACUGGAAACGGUAGCUAAUACCGCAUAACGUCGCAAGACCAAAGAGGGGGACCUUCGGGCCUCUUGCCAUCGGAUGUGCCCAGAUGGGAUUAGCUAGUAGGUGGGGUAACGGCUCACCUAGGCGACGAUCCCUAGCUGGUCUGAGAGGAUGACCAGCCACACUGGAACUGAGACACGGUCCAGACUCCUACGGGAGGCAGCAGUGGGGAAUAUUGCACAAUGGGCGCAAGCCUGAUGCAGCCAUGCCGCGUGUAUGAAGAAGGCCUUCGGGUUGUAAAGUACUUUCAGCGGGGAGGAAGGGAGUAAAGUUAAUACCUUUGCUCAUUGACGUUACCCGCAGAAGAAGCACCGGCUAACUCCGUGCCAGCAGCCGCGGUAAUACGGAGGGUGCAAGCGUUAAUCGGAAUUACUGGGCGUAAAGCGCACGCAGGCGGUUUGUUAAGUCAGAUGUGAAAUCCCCGGGCUCAACCUGGGAACUGCAUCUGAUACUGGCAAGCUUGAGUCUCGUAGAGGGGGGUAGAAUUCCAGGUGUAGCGGUGAAAUGCGUAGAGAUCUGGAGGAAUACCGGUGGCGAAGGCGGCCCCCUGGACGAAGACUGACGCUCAGGUGCGAAAGCGUGGGGGAGCAAACAGGAUUAGAUACCCUGGUAGUCCACGCCGUAAACGAUGUCGACUUGGAGGUUGUGCCCUUGAGGCGUGGCUUCCGGAGCUAACGCGUUAAGUCGACCGCCUGGGGAGUACGGCCGCAAGGUUAAAACUCAAAUGAAUUGACGGGGGCCCGCACAAGCGGUGGAGCAUGUGGUUUAAUUCGAUGCAACGCGAAGAACCUUACCUGGUCUUGACAUCCACGGAAGUUUUCAGAGAUGAGAAUGUGCCUUCGGGAACCGUGAGACAGGUGCUGCAUGGCUGUCGUCAGCUCGUGUUGUGAAAUGUUGGGUUAAGUCCCGCAACGAGCGCAACCCUUAUCCUUUGUUGCCAGCGGUCCGGCCGGGAACUCAAAGGAGACUGCCAGUGAUAAACUGGAGGAAGGUGGGGAUGACGUCAAGUCAUCAUGGCCCUUACGACCAGGGCUACACACGUGCUACAAUGGCGCAUACAAAGAGAAGCGACCUCGCGAGAGCAAGCGGACCUCAUAAAGUGCGUCGUAGUCCGGAUUGGAGUCUGCAACUCGACUCCAUGAAGUCGGAAUCGCUAGUAAUCGUGGAUCAGAAUGCCACGGUGAAUACGUUCCCGGGCCUUGUACACACCGCCCGUCAC
rnacentral:rRNA from 1 species